UACGAAGGGGGCUAGCGUUGUUCGGAAUCACUGGGCGUAAAGGGCGCGUAGGCGGCUUUGUAAGUCGGGGGUGAAAGCCUGUGGCUCAACCACAGAAUUGCCUUCGAUACUGCAUGGCUUGAGACCGGAAGAGGUAAGUGGAACUGCGAGUGUAGAGGUGAAAUUCGUAGAUAUUCGCAAGAACACCAGUGGCGAAGGCGGCUUACUGGUCCGGUUCUGACGCUGAGGCGGCGAAAGCGUGGGGAGCAAACACG
rnacentral:rRNA from 1 species